rnacentral:rRNA from 1 species
UACGUAGGGUGCAAGCGUUGUCCGGAAUUAUUGGGCGUAAAGAGCUCGUAGGCGGUUUGUCGCGUCGGUUGUGAAAGCCCGGGGCUUAACCCUGGGUCUGCAGUCGAUACGGGCAGGCUAGAGUUCGGUAGGGGAGACUGGAAUUCCUGGUGUAGCGGUGAAAUGCGCAGAUAUCAGGAGGAACACCGGUGGCGAAGGCGGGUCUCUGGGCCGAUACUGACGCUGAGACACGAAAGCGUGGGGAGCAAACAGG